rnacentral:RNase_P_RNA from 1 species
GCAGCAGGCCGGUCUGUCGCUCGUCCCUGGGACGGGAGGAAAGUCCGGGCAACACAGAGCACCAUCCUUCCUAACGGGAAGCUGUUCGCGAGGGCAGAGUAGCGUAACAGAAAAGAACCGCCGCCUCUGCGGAUGGCGGUAAGGGUGAAAAGGUGAGGUAAGAGCUUACCGCUCCCGUCGGAAUACGGGGGGACAGUACGCCUGAUGGGUUGUAAGGUCAUGUACACCGGCGCAGCAGGAUGGCUCGUCCAAUGUCGGGGGGUAGACCGCAAGAGCGUGCCGGCGACGGUACGCGAAGAUAAAUGACAGACACUGCCGUUGGGUCGGCAGUACAGAACCCGGCUUACAGGCCGGCUGCAAUU